rnacentral:sRNA from 1 species
UGAAGCAAAUACCAGAUGAAUCACUUUUAUUGUACUGGAGAAUAGUGGCUCCUAAACAAGGCUGUUAAGUGAUUAACAAAGAGAAAUAGAGAUAGAUAGGUAUAUCCUGGGUUCAUUUCAAGAAAAAAUGAAUCAAAUUCUCUCCAGUUGUUUAUCUGAGAAGUCAUUAUUUGUUAUUUGUACAUUUCUUCCCACUCUUCACAGAAAGGCUUCCCAACUGAUGCAACUCUUGAUGACAUAAAAGAAUGGUUAGAAGAUAAAGGUCAAGUACUAAAUAUUCAGAUGAGAAGAACAUUGCAUAAAGCAUUUAAGGUAUGAUAAUACAGACUUUUUCUAGUUUUAAAAUAUACGGGACAUAACUUAAAAAAAUAUUUUCCUUCCUUUUUACAGGGAUCAAUUUUCGUUGUGUUUGAUAGCAUUGAAUCUGCUAAGAAGUUUGUAGAGACCCCUGGCCAGAAGUACAAAGAAACAGACUUGCUAAUACUUUUCAAGGACGAUUACUUUGCCAAAAAAAAUGAAGAAAGAAAACAAAAUAAAGUGGAAGCUAAAUUAAGAGCUAAACAGGAGCAAGAAGCAAAACAAAAGUUAGAAGAAGAUGCUGAAAUGAAAUCUCUAGAAGAAAAGAUUGGAUGCUUGCUGAAAUUUUCGGGUGAUUUAGAUGAUCAGACCUGUAGAGAAGAUUUACACAUACUUUUCUCAAAUCAUGGUGAAAUAAAAUGGAUAGACUUCGUCAGA